GACGAACGCUGGCGGCGUGCUUAACACAUGCAAGUCGAACGGUGAAGCUCCAGCUUGCUGGAGUGGAUCAGUGGCGAACGGGUGAGUAACACGUGAGCAACCUGCCCCUGACUCUGGAAUAAGCGCUGGAAACGGCGUCUAAUACUGGAUACGAGAAGGGUCCGCAUGGGCACCUUCUGGAAAGUUUUUCGGUUGGGGAUGGGCUCGCGGCCUAUCAGCUUGUUGGUGAGGUAAUGGCUCACCAAGGCGACGACGGGUAGCCGGCCUGAGAGGGCGACCGGCCACACUGGGACUGAGACACGGCCCGGACUCCUACGGGAGGCAGCAGUGGGGAAUAUUGCACAAUGGGCGAAAGCCUGAUGCAGCGACGCCGCGUGAGGGAUGACGGCCUUCGGGUUGUAAACCUCUUUCAGCAGGGAAGAAGCGAAAGUGACGGUACCUGCAGAAGAAGCACCGGCUAACUACGUG
rnacentral:rRNA from 1 species